rnacentral:rRNA from 1 species
UCUGUGGGAUCAGUGGCGAACGGGUGAGUAACACGUGAGCAACCUGCCCCUGACUCUGGGAUAAGCGCUGGAAACGGCGUCUAAUACUGGAUACGAGUAGCGAUCGCAUGGUCAGCUACUGGAAAGAUUUAUUGGUUGGGGAUGGGCUCGCGGCCUAUCAGCUUGUUGGUGAGGUAAUGGCUCACCAAGGCGUCGACGGGUAGCCGGCCUGAGAGGGUGACCGGCCACACUGGGACUGAGACACGGCCCAGACUCCUACGGGAGGCAGCAGUGGGGAAUAUUGCACAAUGGGCGCAAGCCUGAUGCAGCAACGCCGCGUGAGGGAUGACGGCCUUCGGGUUGUAAACCUCUUUUAGCAGGGAAGAAGCGAAAGUGACGGUACCUGCAGAAAAAGCGCCGGCUAACUACGUGCCAGCAGCCGCGGUAAUACGUAGGGCGCAAGCGUUAUCCGGAAUUAUUGGGCGUAAAGAGCUCGUAGGCGGUUUGUCGCGUCUGCUGUGAAAUCCGGAGGCUCAACCUCCGGCCUGCAGUGGGUACGGGCAGACUAGAGUGCGGUAGGGGAGAUUGGAAUUCCUGGUGUAGCGGUGGAAUGCGCAGAUAUCAGGAGGAACACCGAUGGCGAAGGCAGAUCUCUGGGCCGUAACUGACGCU